rnacentral:rRNA from 1 species
GCAACGCCGCGUGAGUGAAGAAGGUUUUCGGAUCGUAAAACUCUGUUGUAAGGGAAGAACACGUACGAGAGUAACUGCUCGUACCUUGACGGUACCUUAUUAGAAAGCCACGGCUAACUACGUGCCAGCAGCCGCGGUAAUACGUAGGUGGCAAGCGUUGUCCGGAAUUAUUGGGCGUAAAGCGCGCGCAGGCGGUUCUUUAAGUCUGAUGUGAAAGCCCACGGCUCAACCGUGGAGGGUCAUUGGAAACUGGAGAACUUGAGUACAGAAGAGGAAAGCGGAAUUCCAC